CUCUAAGUCUGUUUAUUCAUCCAGCAGCUUUGUAUCAUACAGUGUAUCUGCUGAACAAAUGAUCUGACCUCUCUUUCAGAGGACAGUCUACUGUAUGCUGAGGUCAACCGCCCCAAAAAAGAAAAAGCCAAGAAUGAAAAAGAGGACAGUUCGAUGUAUGCUGAGGUCAACCGCCACAAUAAAGGAAAACCUAAGGAAAACCAGGGACAGUUAAGUCCUGAAUCAGCUGAUGAGGCAGUUUACUCCGAA